UACGUAGGGUGCGAGCGUUGUCCGGAAUUAUUGGGCGUAAAGAGCUUGUAGGCGGUCUGUCGCGUCUGCUGUGAAAAUCCGGGGCUCAACCCCGGACUUGCAGUGGGUACGGGCAGACUAGAGUGUGGUAGGGGAGACUGGAAUUCCUGGUGUAGCGGUGAAAUGCGCAGAUAUCAGGAGGAACACCGAUGGCGAAGGCAGGUCUCUGGGCCACUACUGACGCUGAGGCGCGAAAGCGUGGGUAGCAAACGGG
rnacentral:rRNA from 1 species